UACGUAGGGGGCAAGCGUUGUCCGGAUUUAUUGGGCGUAAAGCGCUCGCAGGUGGUUCGUCGCGUCGUGCGUGAAAGACCCCGGCUCAACUGGGGAGGGUCGUGCGAUACGGGCGAACUGGAGGCCAGUAGGGGGAUGCGGAAUUCCGGGUGUAGUGGUGGAAUGCGUAGAGAUCCGGAGGAACACCAGCGGCGGAAGGCGGCAUCCUGGACUGGUCCUGACACUCAUGAGCGAAAGCGUGGGGAGCGAUCCGG
rnacentral:rRNA from 1 species